UACUACUAAUCAGUGGACCACUUAUUGAAAAAGGCGUCGUCGUUUAAUUAUUGGAAAAUAGUAUUAAAUGUUAAAACCUGAUAAAAUGGGCACAUUAACCGAUUUCGGACAGAUAGCUUUGAAAUGGGAUCCCAAAAAUUUGGAAAUUCGCACAAUGUCAGUUGAAAAAACUCUUGAACCUCUUGUUUUACAAGUUACUACUCUUGUAAAUACUAAGGGCCCAAGCAAAAAGAAAAAAGGAAAAUCAAAGCGGGCCAGCGCAUUAGUUGCAGCUGUUGAAAAGGCUACAGAAAAUUUUAUUCAAAAAGGUGAACAGAUUGCAUACGAGAAUCCAGACAUCACACAAGAAAUGUUAACAGCUGUGGAUGAAGUAAGAAAAACUGGAGAUGCUAUGAGCAUUGCAGCAAGAGAAUUUUCUGAAGAUCCGUGCAGUUCCCUGAAGAGAGGAAAUAUGGUGCGCGCUGCUAGGAAUUUGUUGUCAGCUGUAACCCGCUUGCUAAUUUUAGCUGAUAUGGUAGAUGUGCAUUUGCUUUUGAAAUCGCUCCAUAUUGUCGAGGACGAUUUAAACAAACUAAAAAACGCUUCGAGUCAGGACGAGCUUAUGGAUAAUAUGAGGCAAUUCGGACGCAAUGCAGGAGAACUUAUAAAACAAGCAGCAAAACGUCAACAAGAACUUAAGGAUCCCCAAUUAAGGGACGACUUAGCAGCUGCUCGGGCGAUGCUUAAAAAGCAUUCAACAAUGCUGUUAACUGCAUCAAAAGUAUACGUUCGCCAUCCGGAACUAGAUCUGGCAAAAGUAAAUCGCGAUUUUAUUCUAAAACAAGUUUGUGAUGCUGUAAAUACUAUCAGCGAUGUUGCCCAAGGAAAGUCAUCCCAACCGACAGAUAUAUACAGCGGAGCGGGAGAGUUGGCUGCAGCUUUAGACGACUUUGACGAGGGAAUUGUAAUGGAUCCGAUGACUUACAGCGAGAAGCGUUCACGCCAAUUGCUCGAAGAGCGGUUGGAAAGUAUUAUUAGUGCAGCUGCAUUGAUGGCUGAUGCAGACUGUACUCGAGACGAGCGACGGGAGAGAAUUGUUGCCGAAUGCAAUGCUGUGCGGCAAGCUUUACAGGAUUUGCUAUCUGAGUAUAUGUCAAACAUGAGUCAAAAAGAUAACAGCCCAGGACUCUCUCGAGCGAUUGAUCAAAUGUGUCGCAAGACUCGUGACCUAAGAAGGCAAUUGCGAAAAGCGGUUGUGGAUCAUGUUUCGGACUCAUUUUUGGAGACUACAACUCCUUUGCUAGAUUUAAUUGAAGCUGCAAAGUCGGGUAAUGAAAAAAAAGUUCGCGAGAAGUCCGAAAUAUUUACUAAGCACGCUGAAAAACUAGUUGAAGUAGCAAAUUUAGUAUGUAGCAUGUCAAACAAUGAAGAUGGUGUUAAAAUGGUUCGAUAUGCUGCUGCCCAAAUUGAAAGUCUUUGCCCGCAAGUAAUAAAUGCAGCAUCUAUAUUAACUGUUAGACCGAAUUCUAAAGUAGCUCAAGAAAAUAUGACUACUUAUCGGCAAGCCUGGGAGGUGCAAGUUCGUAUUUUAACCGAAGCAGUGGAUGAUAUUACAACAAUUGACGACUUCUUAGCAGUAUCAGAGAAUCACAUUCUUGAAGAUGUAAACAAAUGUGUAAUGGCUUUACAAGUUGGUGAUGCCAGGGAUUUGCGUGCAACUGCUGGUGCUAUUCAAGGCCGAUCAUCACGAGUGUGUAACGUUGUUGAAGCUGAAAUGGACAAUUAUGAACCAUGUAUUUACACCAAACGAGUUCUAGAAGCAGUCAAGGUUCUCCGAGAUCAAGUUAUGAUGAAAUUCGACCAACGUGUAGGAGCAGCCGUUGGAGCCCUUUCAAAUAAUUCCAAUAAGGAUGUUGACGAAAAUGACUUUAUUGAUGCUUCUCGUUUGGUGUACGACGGAGUUCGUGAAAUUCGAAGAGCCGUUUUAAUGAACCGAAGCUCGGAAGAUCUUGAUACUGAUACGGAAUUUGAACCAGUUGAAGACUUAACCUUGGAAACUCGAAGUCGAUCAAGUGCUCAUACCGGCGAUCAAACCGUUGACGAAUAUCCGGAUAUUAGUGGCAUAUGUACAGCUCGGGAAGCUAUGCGAAAAAUGACGGAAGAAGACAAACAAAAAAUUGCUCAGCAAGUCGAGUUAUUCCGUAGGGAAAAACUAACCUUUGAUUCAGAAGUUGCUAAAUGGGAUGACACUGGAAAUGACAUUAUUUUUCUUGCCAAACAUAUGUGUAUGAUUAUGAUGGAAAUGACGGAUUUUACUAGAUAUCCGACCACCUUCAGAUGACAAACACAAUGUUUCUUACCCAUUCAUGCUGCCAUGGGAGUCGUGACCCCACUGCGCUGGUAGGUGAUCUGUUUCCCAAAUAAACCGAUCCCGUGACGAACAGCUUACUGACAAAUUCUCCUCCGUCAACACUCUGUAGAUGUCUGAGCCUGUUUGCUCAACCAGUCUCUUUCGUUCGUUCCACUCAGAAAGUAUACAAAAAUUCUUGUGGGUUGGACAGAAGGUCAGAAAAUAGGUGCAAUCUCCCACACGUCUGCAUAAAUUAUUUCUAUAGCGCGAUUAUUUGUCGCCUUUGGGAAAUGCUGAAGAUGCAUUUUGCUGCCCAUACACGUCAUGCAGCUAAUAUUUGUUGGUACAUAAAUACAAUUCCAUUUAAUACAAUCCUUUCAUCACAAAGAAAUUUAAGUGACCGAAUCUACAGUUGUCAUCGCCAAACACUUACUACGCCCGAUAUCAAAAAAGUACCGGUUUCCAGCAGUAAUGGCUCUCACGAUGAAUUCUCCAUCUUGUGUUUCAUAUAUCACAAAUUACUUUGCAUCUGUUCUGCAAAGCACUGUUUACUGACAUAAAGAUUCUUGUCGUGUUAGGUACGAACAGAACAUUUUUGCAAGCUGUACACAAAGCUGUUUAUAUCUUGACGUCCUUUUAAAAUCAAGAAAUGCAUCAUUGGCCAUCCGAUGUGUUGUCUGUUUUCCCCAUUUUUUUUCAAAAGCUCCUCUUUACAAAUCAUGAGUCGUUGUGAUGUCUAAUCAUAACACUGACCUCCUUUAGCAGGCUCCUUUGACGAUUAACCGCGUUUUUUUAAACAUAUUCUUGCCAUAUUUUUGGCAUCACUCGAAUACUGUGAUUUUAUGUGUCUUUUUACCAUAAUUGAAACGUACAAUGUCUUUUAGUUUCCUGACUUUGUUUUGUCAAUUCUCUCUACUCAAUUCCUUUACUAUCGCUUUUUUCCUUUAAAAAUACGGUGAGAACAUCGAAAGAAGACAACUUCUAACCUGUCCUGGAAAGUUCGACAGCAAUACUACGGUUCGAAGCUCCUCGUUUAGCUCUUUUCCGGUUCCAGACAAGUGAUCCAUUUCCACGAACUCACUAGUAUAGGUCAACAUUUUUUGACCCUUUACAACUUCACCGUCCGUUGGAUUGAUGAACCUCUAUUAACUCCUUAGGCUUGGGCGUGCACUGCAGUGGAUUAAUUAUUUAUUGUCGAUAGAAGUUAUGAGUUAUGAUAAUAUGGAAAAAUCGGCACACAACGACCAUCCAAACCGUGACCACUAAGCAUCAAAAGUGGGAUCUAUGUCGCAUCAUGCGUUUUCUGAGGAGCAACGGCGUGCAGAGUCGGAAUUUUGGCGGAACUAGUAUGGAUGUGGAAGUGACGCCAGCACGUGGUUAUCAGCCCAGUCAUAAUGAUAUUGUACCGAAAUUCAACUCUGACGCUGCAUGCGUAGAGGGAGCAAAGUGGUGUGCAAAUAGCGAUAUAAUUUUAUUGGAGCACCACAUUCAGGGAAGUAAAUUGAUCACGGCCACUGUAACUGAGCAACUGCAUGGAGGGAAGCGCAUCCCAGUGGCUUACGCAGUGGUGCAAGUUGAGGACGAGGUCCUUUAAAAACUACCAUGGAUGUUAUUAACGCAGCUAAAAAAAUUUCUGAAGCUGGUACUAAGCUGGAUAAACUAACCAGGGAAAUAGCAGAGCAAUGCCCAGAAAGCAGUACAAAAAAGGACCUCUUGGCAUAUUUGCAACGCAUUGCCCUAUAUUGUCAUCAAAUUCAAAUAACUUCGAAAGUAAAAGCAGAUGUUCAAAAUA